AGAGUUUGAUCAUGGCUCAGAUUGAACGCUGGUGGCGUGCUUAACACAUGCAAGUCGAGCGAGAAAGUUCUCUUCGGAGAACGAGUAGAGCGGCGCACGGGUGAGUAACGCGUGGAUGAUCUACCUUCGGGAACGGGAUAACGGAUGGAAACGCCCGCUAAUACCGUAUGGUCUUCAUAUUUGGCUUUAUGAGGUAAAGGUGGCCUCUACAUGUAAGCUACCGCCUGGAGAUGAGUCCGCGUCUCAUUAGCUUGUUGGUGGGGUAACGGCCUACCAAGGCGACGAUGAGUAGCCGGCCUGAGAGGGUGGCCGGCCACACUGGAACUGGAACACGGUCCAGACUCCUACGGGAGGCAGCAGUGGGGAAUAUUGCGCAAUGGGGGAAACCCUGACGCAGCGACGCCACGUGAGGGAUGAAGGCUUUCGGGUCGUAAACCUCUGUCAGGAGGGAAGAACCGCUUUGAGUCGAAUAGGCUCAGGGCCUGACGGUACCUCCAGAGGAAGCACCGGCUAACUCCGUGCCAGCAGCCGCGGUAACACGGAGGGUGCGAGCGUUAAUCGGAAUCACUGGGCGUAAAGCGUACGUAGGCGGCUUUGCAAGUCAGGGGUGAAAUCCCUCGGCUCAACCGAGGAACUGCCUUUGAAACUGCAUGGCUUGAG
rnacentral:rRNA from 1 species